rnacentral:rRNA from 1 species
AUGAGUUUUAUUUCUUUAGUAGGUACAAUAACACUAUUCUUAGGAGCAACAUUAGCUCUUGCCCAGAUAGAUAUUAAAAGAAGCUUAGCCUAUUCUACAAUGUCUCAAUUGGGUUAUAUGAUGUUAGCUCUAGGUAUAGGUGCUUAUCAAGCUGCUUUAUUCCAUUUUAUCACUUAUGCUUAUUCAAAAGCUUUAUUGUUCUUGGGAUCCGGAUCCGUUAUUCAUUCAAUGGAACCUCUUGUUGGAUAUUCACCAGAUAAAAGUCAAAAUAUGGUUCUUAUGGGCGGUUUAAGAAAAUACAUUCCGAUCAGAGGAACUACUUUUUUAUUGGGUACACUUUCUCUUUGUGGUAUUCCACCUCUUGCUUGCUUCUGGUCCAAAGAUGAAAUCCUUAGUAAUAGUUGGUUGUAUUUGCCCUUUUUUGGAAUAACACCCUCCUUUACUGUAGGAUUAACUGCCUUUUAUAUGUUUCGGAUAUAUUUACUUACAUUUAAUGGGUAUUUGCAUGUUCAUUUUCAAAAUUACAAUAGCACUAAAGAGAGUUUCUUGUAUUCAAUAUCCUUACAGGGAAAAGGGAUACCCAAAGGAGUGAAAGGGAUUUCGUUUAAUCAACAACAAAGAGUUGAGUUCUUUUUUUUUCACAAAAUAUACCAAAAAUUCAAGGUAAUACAAGAAAUAGGAUAG